rnacentral:rRNA from 1 species
AUUGAACGCUGGCGGCAUGCCUUACACAUGCAAGUCGAACGGUAACAGGUCUUCGGAUGCUGACGAGUGGCGAACGGGUGAGUAAUACAUCGGAACGUGCCUAGUAGUGGGGGGUAACUACUCGAAAGAGUGGCUAAUACCGCAUGAGAUCUACGGAUGAAAGCAGGGGAUCGCAAGACCUUGUGCUACUAGAGCGGCCGAUGGCCGAUUAGGUAGUUGGUGGGAUAAAAGCUUACCAAGCCGACGAUCUGUAGCUGGUCUGAGAGGACGAUCAGCCACACUGGGACUGAGAAACGGCCCAGACUCCUACGGGAGGCAGCAGUGGGGAAUUUUGGACAAUGGGCGCAAGCCUGAUCCAGCAAUGCCGCGUGCAGGAUGAAGGCCUUCGGGUUGUAAACUGCUUUUGUACGGAACGAAAAGCCCCGGGUUAAUACCCUGGGGUCAUGACGGUACCGUAAGGAUAAGCACCGGCUAACUACGUGCCAGCCGCCGCAGUAA